AGUCAGGUAACAGACAUGCUGGAAAAGCAAGUGAGCCUGGAAAGGAGGACAGAAUGUACUGGAAAAGGGAGAGAUGGGCUUCCAAGGAGCCACCUCGAAGCUACAGAGGCAGGAGUGGACAUUGAGAACAGAGAGCCUCCAGAGAAGAGCAGCUUUGUGCCUUGCCAUGAAAACCAUGAGAAUGGAAAGCAUGUAACAUCUCACUUACAGCUGACACAGAAGGGAAGUGACUCUGAAAUAUAGACCCUCUCAGCCUCUGGGGAAGAUUUAUGUGGCGAGGAUCACUCUCCUUAGAGUGAGACUGCAGCAGGAAAAAGGAAGAGACUUUGAGGUCAAAGGGAAGGAGGUGAACAGAGAUGGGAAAAGGCGUUGCAGGUCAACAAGUCCCAGGCUGUUGGACAGUGAUCCAGAAAGAGAGUGAGAGCUCAGAGGUGAGCCGCUGUGUGGGAGCUCCUGGAGAUACAAGAUACAAGGAGUGGGGAUUCCCAUUCCCCCAGGAUGCCAGCCAGAGCACCUGGACCCAGUGAGACCUCUGGGACAGUGGACAUCUCAGUAGUGACCAGAAGGUCUCUGGCCCUGCAAAAGCAUUUAGGAACUUGUCCACAAACUGGAACUUGUCCACAAAUUGUCCAAGACUGAGACAAUUCCUCCUGACAUGAAAGGGAUGGGAACUCACAAUUUGAUUUAAGUUGAUUCACAAAAAUAACAAGAUGUCAUAUUCCUCACUUCCUUAGUCUGUGGAUUAAGAUUCAUAUCUGCUACUCAUUUGACUGCCUACUACGUGUUAGGCAAUGCAGUAGGGUUUUCAAACAUGUUUUAUCAUGUAAACUUCAAAACAACACUCCUAUGGAUUUGAACCAGAUUUUACCUGACUCCAAAGUCUGUGAGUAUCUCUAAAAUAAGGAGAAUUAAAGGAAUUAAGUGUUAGAGUGUUCUUGCAUUUACAUUAUACAUGUGAAUUCACUGAAUCCUCACAGUCAACAUAAUAUAUUUUUAAGUAGAUGGACACUGCCUAAGGCCCCUGCUCUGGUUGUGACAUUAAUUUAUUCUCUGUUCUCUAAAUGGGUGCUGAAAGACUGGCCUCUACCGAAUGGCCUUACCCUCCCACAGUCAUGAGUUACACAUCCUUGUUCUAAAAGGUCAGCAGAGAUCAAGUCUGAGUUCCAGAUUUCUAGAAAAGAAACUCUGCUAAUUCUUGGCCCAAUCAGCUAUGCCAGUAGCAUGCGGUCAAACAGCAUAUCCAAUCAGAUUUUCUCUCCCAACAAUAUACAAUUGUGUCUUAGAGAUUCUAAUUAGUCUAUGCUGGUAACUUGAACUGAAGACAUGUAACCUGAAUGCUGUGCAGCAGCCAUAGCUGGCUGUGUGUGCAUAUAGAUGAAGAGGAUGCCAACCUGCAGAGAUGGAGGAGAAUGAUGCACACAGCACAUGCCUGUGCUCUGGCUGUUUUUGCCUCACUAGGGCACCUAGGACACCCACUCACCAGGUCCACUUAGAACAAAGUCCCUGCAGAAAAUAUUACAAGAGUAUUAACAUAGCCCUGGGGCAAUCUGGUUGUGUGCCAGUGUGCUGCCAUGCUGAGGUCAAUUGGUUUUAGAUCUUUCUACCAAUGGGGAUAGAGAAGAACACAUUUGCCAGGUCAAUAAUCACACACCAAGGGCCAGAAAUAGUGAUGAUCUACUCCAGUGAAGAUAUAAAUUAAUCAGAGAAGCUGCAACUGGGGCUAACAACUGGUUCAACUUACAGUAAUUCAUUAUCAUUUGCCAUGCUCUUUCUUUUUUCAGAGACCAGAUAGGUAACUUAAAUAGGUAUGUGAUAGAGACUACCACCUUGCAACCUUUAAGUCUUUUGAAGAUAGAACUAAUUUCCACAAUACCAGAAGACAAAGAGACAAGUUAUAAAGGAUCCUACUUUGUCCUUCCUGCCACAGUGACCUUACUCCAUACAUCAGGGACCCAAUGCAAGAGUUCCAGCAGCUGCUAAGUACACCUAUCCCAAUUAUACAUGCAGGAACUAGAUAUACAACCAUACGGUGAGUCUGCAAGUACAUUGGACCCAAAAUGAGACAGUUUUGGGCAGUACCCCAUUUAUCUCCUAGCUUCCGUAAGUCCCACCCUAAACAGAUAACCAUGAUGGUAUUUGGGGUAUCACGGUCCUAUGGAUUAAAUGUUUGUCUCCUCCCAAACUCAAAUUUAAAUUUAAUUGCCAUUGUAACAGUAUUAAGAGGUGAUUAGGCUAUGAGGGCUGUGCACUCACUCAUAGGUUAAUGCUAUUAUUUGGGGAGUAGGUUCAUUAUCAAGGGAGCAGGUUUCUUAUAAAAGGAUGAGUUAGGCCUCCUUCUGCCUCUCUCUGUCACCUACCUUUUGCUCUUCUGUCAUGGGAUGAUGCAGGAAGAAUUCCCUAGCAAGAUACCACCUCCUCAAUCUUGGACUUCUCAGCCUCCAG
ensembl:lncRNA novel transcript